rnacentral:tRNA from 1 species
CGGGGUGUAGCGCAGCCUGGUAGCGCACUUGGUUUGGGACCAAGGGGCCGUAGGUUCAAAUCCUACCACCCCGA